AAGGCAUGAUCCUAUCAGGAAAAAAAAAUCUGUACUUUUCACAAGUUGCCAUGUAAAUGAUCACAUUUCUUCUAAGUUUUGCAUAAGGAUACACAGUUUUACAUCUUGCUCUUCUAGUAUCCUAAAUCCAAGGGCUUGGGGUUAAACAAAAUAAAUAUCUGAUUUCCUUUGUCUUCAAGUUCAAGGAAUGUAUCUGUUGGUCAACUGAGAGAGCUGCUACCUCAUUCCCCUGGACCCUAAAAUUAGGAUUUAACCUACACACUUUAAUAGACAUAGUUUGGAGAUGAGUCGUACUAUGGACAGACACUAAGUGAACACUUUCACUGCUGGAGAGAGUGUGAAAGGCAGACCCCUGUACUGGUAAUGGUUGUCUCCAUCUGAGGUAAUUCCUGUAAGCCGGAUGGCCAUGUGGAAGUAUGCAACCUGAAAGUAAAGAAAUGUGAACUAAUCUUGAGGUUGGAGUGAUGGAGGCAAGUGUUACUAUCCUGCACCUGCACGUUUGUCUGCAUUUUAGAUGGAACACUGAAAGAUAUGAGUGACUGUUAAGAGGGGGUCUUUGAACUUGGCUUUUCUGGAUCUCUCAUAGAUUGCUCCAGAAGACAGAGCUUCAGCUUCACAUACCUCCACUUGUGGGUUCUUGCGGAAAAGGAGAGGGAGUGAGCACCUGC